UACAGAGGUCCCAAGCGUUGUUCGGAUUCACUGGGCGUAAAGGGUGCGUAGGCGGUCGGGUAAGUCCGAUGUGAAAUCUCCAGGCUCAACCUGGAAAUGGCAUUGGAUACUAUUUAGCUUGAGGAGUGGAGGGGGGACUGGAAUUCUCGGUGUAGCAGUGAAAUGCGUAGAUAUCGAGAGGAACACCAGUGGCGAAGGCGGUUCUCUGGGCAUGUCCUGACGCUGAGGAGCGAAAGUGUGGGGAGCGAACAGG
rnacentral:rRNA from 1 species